AGGUUCUAACUCUGUCCCGUGAUCCGGGACGAGGACCGUGUCUGGUGGGUAGUUUGACUGGGGCGGUCUCCUCCCAAAGCGUAACGGAGGAGCACAAAGGUGGGCUAAGCAUGGUCGGACAUCAUGCGGUUAGUGUAAUGGCACAAGCCCGCUUAACUGCGAGACAGACACGUCGAGCAGGUACGAAAGUAGGUCAUAGUGAUCCGGUGGUUCUGUAUGGAAGGGCCAUCGCUCAACGGAUAAAAGGUACUCCGGGGAUAACAGGCUGAUACCGCCCAAGAGUUCAUAUCGACGGCGGUGUUUGGCACCUCGAUGUCGGCUCAUCACAUCCUGGGGCUGAAGUCGGUCCCAAGGGUAUGGCUGUUCGCCAUUUAAAGUGGUACGCGAGCUGGGUUUAGAACGUCGUGAGACAGUUCGGUCCCUAUCUGGUGUGGGCGUUGGAUGAUUGAUGGGAGCUGCUCCUAGUACGAGAGGGCCGGAGUGGACGAACCGCUGGUGUUCGGGUUGUUUUGCCAAAGGCAUUGCCCGGUAGCUACGUUCGGAAUCGAUAACCGCUGAAAGCAUCUAAGCGGGAAGCGAGCCCAGAGAUGAGUCAUCCCAGAGAAUUUAAUUCUCCUGAAGGGUUGUUGAAGACGACAACGUUGAUAGGCAGGGUGUGGAAGCGUUGUAAGGCGUUAAGCUAACCUGUACUAAUUGCCCGUGCGGCUUAACC
rnacentral:rRNA from 14 species